CCGCAGGACGCGGAAAAGACCCGUUGGAAUCUACCAAAGGCAUUAAAAGCGGAAGUCAUGUAAAUCAGUUCGAAUGCAUAAACAAAUAAAGGACUUUCUCAUCAAUUAUACUCGGCCCCCAUUUUUUCCUCAUCUCACUUAUUCAGCACUGGCUCAUAACAAGGAUGUGUGCUAAGUUCAUUGCUGUUUGCCCAUUGUACCCAUGACUGCAGUCCAGCCCACCGUAAGAACAUCAUCAUCAAUAUGGCUGAUGACACUAUAAUGAUUGGACUCAUCUCGGAGGGGAAUGAAUCUUCUUAUAGAGUGGAGAUCCUGAAAAUGUCAGCUUGGAGCUCAACAAAUAACCUGGCACUGAACACCAUGAAAGCAAAGGAAAUCAUCUUUGA